rnacentral:rRNA from 1 species
CCGACGGGAGGAAGCAGAAACGAAUACUCAGAAAAAGAAAAAAAAAAGACCGAGCCAAACAGAAAAAGUGAAGAAGGUUUUCGGAUCGUAAAACUCUGUUGUUAGAGAAGAACAAGGAUGAGAGUAACUGUUCAUCCCUUGACGGUAUCUAACCAGAAAGCCACGGCUAACUACGUGCCAGCAGCCGCGGUAAUACGUAGGUGGCAAGCGUUGUCCGGAUUUAUUGGGCGUAAAGCGAGCGCAGGCGGUUUCUUAAGUCUGAUGUGAAAGCCCCCGGCUCAACCGGGGAGGGUCAUUGGAAACUGGGAGACUUGAGUGCAGAAGAGGAGAGUGGAAUUCCAUGUGUAGCGGUGAAAUGCGUAGAUAUAUGGAGGAACACCAGUGGCGAAGGCGGCUCUCUGGUCUGUAACUGACGCUGAGGCUCGAAAGCGUGGGGAGCAAACAGGAUUAGAUACCCCAGUAGUC